rfam:Lactobacillus kefiranofaciens subsp. kefirgranum DSM 10550 = JCM 8572 strain DSM 10550 NODE_21, whole genome shotgun sequence.
AGCAACGGACUCUUAAUCCGUGGGUCCAGGGUUCGAUCCCCUGGCCACCCA